GCAAACGACUAAUUGGUUGCAGAAAGUGAUGAAUCAGAGGCUGAAGUGAAGUUACAAAGUUAUACUCCUAUGCAAAGGAAGACUUGGCCUGUGACCAGCCUGAUUGACUGCAGGAGGGGACCAGUCAGAGGUUCAUUCCAGUCUCUGAAGCAGUUCACGCUGUUGACUCUGGGCAGUAGCAUCUUUUCCUCACCUCGUAUUGCCAGUAACUGGAGCAAUAUGAGGUAGGGAGAAGAUGUCUCCAUGACCUGCUCCUUCAGAAGCUCUGUGCUUCAUCAAUAGUCAACUGAUAAACACUUUCCAGUGCCCAAAGCCAAAGGAUUGUGAUUGUUCUUUAUGUCACUUAUUUCUUUAUAGCUUUCCUUAUGUGGCUUAUUUUCCCCUCCAAUGCUGGAGGAUAAAGGAAUGAGGAAUUACAGUACUUUGGGAAACUUCAAAUGUUCAGAUCCAGCACUGAACUCUAUGAAUAAUUAUCUCCGUGUUGCAAGGUCCUCCAGUAGAAAGAGAAUGAAUAUUUCUGCCAGCUUUAGGGUAAUUUACUAAGGGAGAAAGAAGGCAAUUCCAACUUCCAUGAGCUGUGUCUUUGUACAACAUAAAAUAUCUAAGUCAUAAAUAAAAGUCUUAUAAAUG
rnacentral:lncRNA from 1 species